GCUAAAAUCUAUAACCAAAAAUCUAAUAAUCCAAUUAUCAAUUAAAAUUAAUUAAUUAAUUAAUUAAACUGAAAAAAAUAAAACAAUAGUAAUUAAUAAAGCAAAAUGAAAUACAUAUAUCUAUUCAAAUCAACGUAUUACCAAUAUAUACAAAACUGAAUAUUUAUAUUUAUACAAUAAUAAUAUUUAUAUUUAAACUUAAGCACAGUAGUAUAUAUUUAUGUUUAAAUUUAAACAAAAUAGUAUAUAUUUCUAAACACAUGUAUCUACUCACAUUAAAAUAGUAUCUAUAUAUAAAACUUAAACACAAUAAUAUAUAUUUAUAUUUAAAUUUAACUUUGAACACAGUAACUAUAUAUUCCUAAACUUCAACACAAUAGCUAUAUAUUUCAACACCCAAGUGACCCAAAAAUAUUGAUUUCUUUCUACAUCCAUACAUUGCUUGUAAUGAUAGUAACAACAUGAAAAUUGAUACAGCAAAGGAUUAAUGCAAACGCCACAUAAUAAUCAUGGUUUAACUUUCUCUUCUAAAGGCUGGAUUUUCUUUUUUUAAAAAGGUACAGGAAUUGAAAAGGAAAAAAAUGAUAACUUAGAACAUUCUUUCAUACAUCCCUCAAAUUCAACUUAAUUCAAUUCACAUUAAACUAAAGCCAAAUAAAUAGUUUCAUUAUUCACCAGCACAACAUAUCGACAGUAACGACAUNA
rnacentral:lncRNA from 1 species